rnacentral:rRNA from 1 species
AACGAACGCUGGCGGCAGGCCUAACACAUGCAAGUCGAGCGAGGACUUCGGUUCUAGCGGCGGACGGGUGAGUAACGCGUGGGAAUGUGCCCUUCUCUACGGAAUAGCCCUGGGAAACUGGGAGUAAUACCGUAUACGCCCUUUUGGGGAAAGAUUUAUCGGAGAAGGAUCAGCCCGCGUUGGAUUAGGUAGUUGGUGGGGUAAUGGCCUACCAAGCCGACGAUCCAUAGCUGGUUUGAGAGGAUGAUCAGCCACACUGGGACUGAGACACGGCCCAGACUCCUACGGGAGGCAGCAGUGGGGAAUCUUAGACAAUGGGGGCAACCCUGAACUAGCCAGGCCGCGUGAGUGAUGAAGGCCUUAGGGUUGUAAAGCUCUUUCAGCUGGGAAGAUAAUGACGGUACCAGCAGAAGAAGCCCCGGCUAACUCCGUG